CAGGAGAUAGUUUAAUUAGAAUAUCAGCUUUGGGUGUUGAUGGUAGGGCAUGAGCCUUUCUCUUGA
rnacentral:tRNA from 6 species